AUGGGAGGGAUCAGAAACAGGUUUCUUGCCUGGUUAAGGUCACUGGGAAUCGUGCAAAUCUUAAAAAACCGGGGGAGGGGGUGGCACUCACUAGCUGGCUUUCCCCAGGCUGAAGAAGCAUCUUCGUGGAAUUUAAGUCACCGUUCUGAAAAGGUGCCUUUAAAGCAUAGCCUGCCUGGAGGUUUUGCAGCCCCAGGAGACCUCACCAAACACCUCAUGUUUUGUGGGGAGCAGCACAGCAUUGCUUACAGACUGAUAUCGGUACAUGGGCUGAAGGGUUGCAGGUGGGUGGAAAGCAUGAAUCUUACUGCUGUUUCAUAUACAGAGGCUUUUGUAACAUUUACCGAGCAUGGUAAUACCGCAUACUCAGCCCGGUGGAUUUCAGGAGCACUGAGCCUAUUCAUGUAUGUCAUGCGUGCUCUGCAGUCAUUCUUGUACUGUCAGGCACUUGGAAGCUUCUGGUAUGUACAGGAAAAUGUCAAAAGCCUCCUUAGAGGUUCCAAGUGGAAAAAUAGAGUAAGAACCCAUGUGAACUUUUUAUGGAAGGGGACAGGUCAGAAUGAGCAGGUACUUUUACAAUGUCAUUACAGGAGAAGAAACAACAGAGAUGAAAUCCACGCUCAUCUGAACUCCAUGGCAAGGCUCCCAGUAACACAGGGUAGUCUGUUAUGUCAGAAAUACAGCUAGACAUUGGAUUGCGAGGAGGGGACAGCUUUGUCCAAAAUACAGACAAACUGAAAAUAACCAUCACACUGAGGAAAAAUGAGAGCGUUGUUGUGCGUGAACUAAAUGAACUGAGACACAAAGCCAUGGAUGCUAACAGUCACCAGGGACUGAUUCCACUUGCAGCCAAGGCUGAGUCAGG
rnacentral:lncRNA from 1 species